UACAGAGGGGCAAGCGUUAUUCGGAAUUAUUGGGCGUAAAGGGCGCGUAGGCGGCUUGGCAAGUGGAUGGUGAAAUCCCUCGGCUUAACCGAGGAACUGCCGUCCAAACUGCUUUGCUUGAGACCGGGAGAGGUGAGUGGAAUUCCCAGUGUAGCGGUGAAAUGCGUAGAUAUUGGGAGGAACACCAGUGGCGAAGGCGGCUCACUGGACCGGUACUGACGCUGAUGCGCGAAAGCGUGGGGAGCAAACGGG
rnacentral:rRNA from 1 species